GACGUAGGGGGCAAGCGUUGUCCGGAAUCAUUGGGCGUAAAGAGCGUGUAGGCGGCCAGAUAAGUCCGCUGUGAAAUCUCGAGGCUCAACUUCGAGACGCCGAUGGAAACCAUGUGGCUAGAGUCCGGAAGAGGAGAGUGGAAUUCCUGGUGUAGCGGUGAAAUGCGCAGAUAUCAGGAAGAACACCCGUGGCUAAGGCGGCUCUCUAGUACGGUACUGACGCUGAGACGCGAAAGCGUGGGGAGCGAACAGG
rnacentral:rRNA from 1 species